rnacentral:rRNA from 1 species
UACGAAGGGGGGCUAGCGUUGCUCGGAAUUACUGGGCGUAAAGGGCGCGUAGGCGGACAGUUUAGUCAGAGGUGAAAGCCCAGGGCUCAACCCUGGAAUUGCCUUUGAUACUGGCUGUCUUUGAGUACGGGAGAGGUGUGUGGAACUCCGAGUGUAGAGGUGAAAUUCGUAGAUAUUCGGAAGAACACCAGUGGCGAAGGCGACACACUGGCCCGUUACUGACGCUGAGGCGCGAAAGCGUGGGGAGCAAACAGG